rnacentral:lncRNA from 1 species
UGAGAGAAAAGAGAAAUUUGUCAUCGCAGACCUCCGUGGUAGGUGUGGUUGCGGGUUUUGGCAGAGUAUCCAGAGUUUUUGGCUCUUUGGGAGACAAAGCUGGUUUCACAUCUCCGGAACUUCCUGUGGUGCUUUCCAUUUCAGUGUUUCCCUCGUCUCCGGUGGUGGCGUCACUGAUUGCCGUAUUAAUCGAUGAAGUCUCAUCAAAAUCGGUUUUAUUUU